UGGUGUGUGGCAUACUGGUUUGAGUGUUGGACUAUGACUCUAGAGACCAGGGUUCAAAUCCCCACUGAGCCA